rnacentral:rRNA from 1 species
AACGUAGGAGACAAACGUUAUCCGGAGUUACUGGGCGUAAAGGGCGUGCAGGCGGUCUGUUAAGUUCGGCGUGAAAGCGCCUGGCUAAACCGGGCGAGGUCGUCGGAGACUGGCAGACUUGAGGGUGAUAGAGGCGGGUGGAAUUCCGGGUGUAGUGGUGAAAUGCGUAGAGAUCCGGAGGAACACCAGUGGCGAAGGCGACCCGCUGGGUCACACCUGACGCUGAGACGCGACAGCAUGGGGAGCGAACGGG